rnacentral:rRNA from 1 species
CGCUGAGUUUGAUCCUGGCUCAGAUUGAACGCUGGCGGAAUGCUUUACACAUGCAAGUCGAACGGUAGAGGGGGCAACCCCUCGAGAGUGGCGAACGGGUGAGUAAUAUAUCGGAACGUGCCCAGUCGUGGGGGAUAACGUAGUGAAAAUUACGCUAAUACCGCAUACGAUCUACGGAUGAAAGCGGGGGAUCGCAAGACCUCGCGCGAUUGGAGCGGCCGAUAUCAGAUUAGGUAGUUGGUGAGAUAAAGACUCACCAAGCCAACGAUCUGUAGCUGGUCUGAGAGGACGACCAGCCACACUGGAACUGAGACACGGUCCAGACU